rnacentral:rRNA from 1 species
CCUACGGGGGGCUGCAGUGGGGAAUUUUGGACAAUGGGCGCAAGCCUGAUCCAGCCAUGCCGCGUGCAGGAUGAAGGCCCUCGGGUUGUAAACUGCUUUUGUACGGAACGAAAAGCCUCUCUCGAAUAAAGAGGGGUGAUGACGGUACCGUAAGAAUAAGCACCGUCUAACUACGUGCCAGCCGCCGCGGUAAUACGUAGGGAACGAGCGGGCAUCGGAAUUACUGGGCGUGAAGCGUGCGCCGGCGGUGAAAUCCCCGGGCUCAACCUGGGAACGGCCAUUGUGACUGCAAGGCUGGAGUACGGCAGAGGGGGAUGGAAUUCCGCGUGUAGCAGUGAAAUGCGUAGAUAUGCGGAGGAACACCGAUGGCGAAGGCAGUCCCCUGGGCCUGUACUGACGCUCAUGCACGAAAGCGUGGGGAGCAAACAGGAUUAGAUACCCUGGUAGUC